rnacentral:rRNA from 1 species
GUUAAGCGACUAAGCGUACACGGUGGAUGCCCUGGCAGUCAGAGGCGAUGAAGGACGUGCUAAUCUGCGAUAAGCGUCGGUAAGGUGAUAUGAACCGUUAUAACCGGCGAUUUCCGAAUGGGGAAACCCAGUGUGAUUCGUCACACUAUCAUUACGUGAAUACAUAGCGUAAUGAAGCGAACCGGGGGAACUGAAACAUCUAAGUACCCCGAGGAAAAGAAAUCAACCGAGAUUCCCCCAGUAGCGGCGAGCGAACGGGGAGCAGCCCAGAGUCUGAAUCAGCUUGUGUGUUAGUGGAACGGUCUGGAAAGUCCGACGGUACAGGGUGAUAGUCCCGUACACCAAAAUGCACAGGUUGUGAACUCGAAGAGUAGGGCGGGACACGUGGUAUCCUGUCUGAAUAUGGGGGGACCAUCCUCCAAGGCUAAAUACUCCUGACUGACCGAUAGUGAACCAGUACCGUGAGGGAAAGGCGAAAAGAACCCCGGCGAGGGGAGUG